UACGAAGGGGGCUAGCGUUGUUCGGAAUCACUGGGCGUAAAGCGCACGCAGGCGGAUUGAUAAGUCAGGGGUGAAAUCCCGGAGCUCAACUUCGGAAUUGCCUUUGAUACUGUCUGUCUUGAGUCCGGGAGAGGUGAGUGGAAUUGCGAGUGUAGAGGUGAAAUUCGUAGAUAUUCGCAAGAACACCAGUGGCGAAGGCGGCUCACUGGCCCGGUACUGACGCUGAGGUGCGAAAGCGUGGGGAGCAAACAGG
rnacentral:rRNA from 1 species